CUGCAUGAAGUCGGAAUUGCUAGUAAUCGCAGAUCAGCAUGCUGCGGUGAAUACGUUCCCGGGCCUUGUACACACCGCCCGUCACACCAUGGGAGCUGGUAACACCCGAAGUCAGUAGUCUAACCGCGAGGAGGACGCUGCCGAAGGUGGGAUUAGCGACUGGGGUGAAGUCGUAACAAGGUAAC
rnacentral:rRNA from 1 species